GGCGAACCGGGGGAACUGAAACAUCUAAGUACCCCGAGGAAAAGAAAUCAACCGAGAUUCCCCCAGUAGCGGCGAGCGAACGGGGAGCAGCCCAGAGCCUGAAUCAGUAUGUGUGUUAGUGGAAGCGUCUGGAAAGGCGCGCGAUACAGGGUGACAGCCCCGUACACAAAAAUGCACAUGCUGUGAGCUCGAUGAGUAGGGCGGGACACGUGGUAUCCUGUCUGAAUAUGGGGGGACCAUCCUCCAAGGCUAAAUACUCCUGACUGACCGAUAGUGAACCAGUACCGUGAGGGAAAGGCGAAAAGAACCCCGGCGAGGGGAGUGAAAAAGAACCUGAAACCGUGUACGUACAAGCAGUGGGAGCACGCUUAGGCGUGUGACUGCGUACCUUUUGUAUAAUGGGUCAGCGACUUAUAUUCUGUAGCAAGGUUAACCGAAUAGGGGAGCCGAAGGGAAACCGAGUCUUAACUGGGCGUUAAGUUGCAGGGUAUAGACCCGAAACCCGGUGAUCUAGCCAUGGGCAGGUUGAAGGUUGGGUAACACUAACUGGAGGACCGAACCGACUAAUGUUGAAAAAUUAGCGGAUGACUUGUGGCUGGGGGUGAAAGGCCAAUCAAACCGGGAGAUAGCUGGUUCUCCCCGAAAGCUAUUUAGGUAGCGCCUCGUGAAUUCAUCUCCGGGGGUAGAGCACUGUUUCGGCAAGGGGGUCAUCCCGACUUACCAACCCGAUGCAAACUGCGAAUACCGGAGAAUGUUAUCACGGGAGACACACGGCGGGUGCUAACGUCCGUCGUGAAGAGGGAAACAACCCAGACCGCCAGCUAAGGUCCCAAAGUCAUGGUUAAGUGGGAAACGAUGUGGGAAGGCCCAGACAGCCAGGAUGUUGGCUUAGAAGCAGCCAUCAUUUAAAGAAAGCGUAAUAGCUCACUGGUCGAGUCGGCCUGCGCGGAAGAUGUAACGGGGCUAAACCAUGCACCGAAGCUGCGGCAGCGACGCUGAUGCGUUGUUGGGUAGGGGAGCGUUCUGUAAGCCUGCGAAGGUGUGCUGUGAGGCAUGCUGGAGGUAUCAGAAGUGCGAAUGCUGACAUAAGUAACGAUAAAGCGGGUGAAAAGCCCGCUCGCCGGAAGACCAAGGGUUCCUGUCCAACGUUAAUCGGGGCAGGGUGAGUCGACCCCUAAGGCGAGGCCGAAAGGCGUAGUCGAUGGGAAACAGGUUAAUAUUCCUGUACUUGGUGUUACUGCGAAGGGGGGACGGAGAAGGCUAUGUUGGCCGGGCGACGGUUGUCCCGGUUUAAGCGUGUAGGCUGGUUUUCCAGGCAAAUCCGGAAAAUCAAGGCUGAGGCGUGAUGACGAGGCACUGCGGUGCUGAAGCAACAAAUGCCCUGCUUCCAGGAAAAGCCUCUAAGCAUCAGGUAACAUCAAAUCGUACCCCAAACCGACACAGGUGGUCAGGUAGAGAAUACCAAGGCGCUUGAGAGAACUCGGGUGAAGGAACUAGGCAAAAUGGUGCCGUAACUUCGGGAGAAGGCACGCUGAUAUGUAGGUGAAGUCCCUCGCGGAUGGAGCUGAAAUCAGUCGAAGAUACCAGCUGGCUGCAACUGUUUAUUAAAAACACA
rnacentral:rRNA from 1 species